AUUGAACGCUGGCGGCAUGCUUUACACAUGCAAGUCGAACGGCAGCGCGGGCUUCGGCCUGGCGGCGAGUGGCGAACGGGUGAGUAAUGCAUCGGAACGUGCCCCGUAGUGGGGGAUAGCCCGGCGAAAGCCGGAUUAAUACCGCAUACGACCUGAGGGUGAAAGCGGGGGACCGAAAGGCCUCGCGCUAUUGGGGCGGCCGAUGUCGGAUUAGCUAGUUGGUGGGGUAAAGGCUUACCAAGGCGACGAUCCGUAGCUGGUCUGAGAGGACGACCAGCCACACUGGGACUGGGACACGGCCCAGACUCCUACGGGAGGCAGCAGUGGGGAAUUUUGGACAAUGGGGGCAACCCUGAUCCAGCCAUGCCGCGUGCGGGAAGAAGGCCUUCGGGUUGUAAACCGCUUUUGUUCGGGAAGAAAUCCUCUGGGCUAAUACCCCGGGGGGAUGACGGUACCGGAAGAAUAAGCACCGGCUAACUACGUG
rnacentral:rRNA from 1 species